rnacentral:rRNA from 1 species
GCUGGCGGCACGCCUAACACAUGCAAGUCGAACGAAGUAGCAAUACUUAGUGGCAGACGGGUGAGUAACAUGUAGGUAUCUGCCCUUUGGCCUGGAAUAACACGAGGAAACUUGUGCUAAUACCGGAUAAGUCUUUACGGAGAAAGCUUUAUGCACCAUUGGAUGAGCCUGCACUUGAUUAGUUUGUUGGUGGGGUAAUGGCCUACCAAGACUGUGAUCAAUAGCUGAUUUGAGAGGAUGAUCAGCCACAUUGGGACUGAGACACGGCCCAAACUCCUACGGGAGGCAGCAGUGGGGAAUCUUGCACAAUGGAGGAAACUCUGAUGCAGCGAUGCCGCGUGAGUGAAGAAGGCCUUUGGGUUGUAAAGCUCUUUCGUCGGGGAAGAAAAUGACUGUACCCGAAUAAGAAGGUCCGGCUAACUUCGUGCCAGCAGCCGCGGUAAUACGAAGGGACCUAGCGUAGUUCGGAAUUACUGGGCUUAAAGAGUUCGUAGGUGGUUGAAAAAGUUGGUGGUGAAAUCCCAGAGCUUAACUCUGGAACUGCCAUCAAAACUUUUCAGCUAGAGUUUGAUAGAGGAAAGCAGAAUUUCUAGUGUAGAGGUGAAAUUCGUAGAUAUUAGAAAGAAUACCAAUUGCGAAGGCAGCUUUCUGGAUCAUUACUGACACUGAGGAACGAAAGCAUGGGUAGCGAAGAGGAUUAGAUACCCUCGUAGUCCAUGCCGUAAACGAUGUGUGUUAGACGUUGGAAAUUUAUUUUCAGUGUCGCAGCGAAAGCGAUAAACACACCGCCUGGGGAGUACGACCGC